GCAGCCGCGGUAAUACGGGGGAUGCAAGCGUUAUCCGGAUUUAUUGGGUUUAAAGGGUGCGUAGGCGGUCGAUUAAGUCAGCGGUGAAAUUUAGGGGCUCAACCUCUACCGUGCCGUUGAUACUGGUUGGCUGGAAUGCGGAUGCCGUGGGAGGAAUGUGUGGUGUAGCGGUGAAAUGCAUAGAUAUCACACAGAACACCGAUUGCGAAGGCAUCUCACGAAUCCGCUAUUGACGCUGAUGCACGAAAGCGUGGGGAUCAAACAGGAUUAGAUACCCC
rnacentral:rRNA from 1 species